rnacentral:rRNA from 1 species
GACAGAGGUUGCAAGCGUUGUUCGGAAUUACUGGGCGUAAAGGGCGCGUAGGCGGCCAUCUAAGUCAGACGUGAAAUCCCUCGGCUCAACCGAGGAACUGCGUCUGAUACUGGAAGGCUUGAAUCCGGGAGAGGGAUGUGGAAUUCCAGGUGUAGCGGUGAAAUGCGUAGAUAUCAGGAGGAACACCGGUGGCGAAGGCGCUCAUCUGGCCCAAUACUGACGCUGGAAGCGACGAAAGCUAGGGGAGCAAACGGG